GCUGUGGUGUCCGAGUGGUUAAGGAGAUGGACUCGAAAUCCAUUGGGCUCUGCCCGCACAGGUUCGAAUCCUGUCUACAGCG
rnacentral:tRNA from 1 species